CGGCUCCCUUCUUUGGCUAGCACCCCCCCCCCAUCACAGGCAGCUGGCUGUAUUUACAGAGGAACAGUCUAAGGAACCCCCAAUAGUCUAUUGGCUGCCUUUUACUGAGUACCUGACCAAACCAUGUACAACUCACUUCUCUAUAGGAAACAGGCCCUAGUGUCACAAAUCCCACUUGAAAAUGACUCUCUGAGGCUGACUUGGGGGUCUCUUGCUUGUUGGUCAUUUCCUGCCAUCCCAGCCAGCCAGCUCUAUUUGCUGCAAAUUGGUGAUGAGGCAAGGUGGCUGGGAGGCGCACCUCCCCGAGGGAGUUGUGUUGUUUUUAUAACCGGUGCCAGGUCUGAGUGCAGGGUGAGUAAGCGCCUCUUCCUCCUUUGCUCCGGCUGGUCUUCCACACCAAGUCUGCCUCUUGCACUGUUCCAGACAUGGUGGGGAGGAAGGGCUGCCUGGCUCUCGUGCUUCCUAGAUUUGGGACCCCAAACUCAAGAAGGCAACAGAAGUUUGAUAAAGUUGAUGCCAACACUUGCUUUUAUGGCUACCAAUGGCUUUUCCAUACAACUUACAAUAAAUCCCCACAAUCCUGUAAACAUUGUUGUGGGAGUUUAG
rnacentral:lncRNA from 1 species